rnacentral:rRNA from 1 species
GAUGAACGCUGGCGGCGUGCCUAAUACAUGCAAGUCGAGCGAACGGACGAGAAGCUUGCUUCUCUGAUGUUAGCGGCGGACGGGUGAGUAACACGUGGAUAACCUACCUAUAAGGCUGGGAUAACUUCGGGAAACCGGAGCUAAUACCGGAUGAUAUUUUGAACCGCAGGGUUCAAAAGUGAAAGACGGUCUUGCUGUCACUUAUAGAUGGAUCCGCGCUGCAUUAGCUAGUUGGUAAGGUAACGGCUUACCAAGGCAACGAUGCAUAGCCGACCUGAGAGGGUGAUCGGCCACACUGGAACUGAGACACGGUCCAGACUCCUACGGGAGGCAGCAGUAGGGAAUCUUCCGCAAUGGGCGAAAGCCUGACGGAGCAACGCCGCGUGAGUGAUGAAGGUCUUCGGAUCGUAAAACUCUGUUAUUAGGGAAGAACAUAUGUGUAAGUAACUGUGCACAUCUUGACGGUACCUAAUCAGAAAGCCACGGCUAACUACGUG